AAGCUUGCUGUAAUUGUUAUAAGCAUCUAGAUUAAUGUCGAAAUUUUUCUGAUUCAGAAUUCGACUAAUGUUGUAUGUCUGACCAUCACUGUCAAAAGUGUGAGAAGAAUAAAUGGGGAAUUUUUUAGCAUCAUACAUAUUAGUCCAGUAAGAAAUAGGCACAAUUAUAUACUGAACCAAGAAAAAACCAGCAAGAGUGUUUGCAAUAGCAAAGAAAGGCACGGCUAGAGGAGUCCCCAAGAACCCAGCAACAGUUGACCAGUCCAGGCCGAAGGAGGCAAUACCAAGCCCAUUUUGCCCUGAACCGAUCUGUUGCGCAGUGACAGAGUCCUUCCAUAUCCAACAAAUAAAGGAGAUUGUAGAUAAGGAAGGGAAAAGGUAGCCUGGAAUGAUAUAAUAGGCAUAGCUUGAUAUGAAAACAAUAGUAAAGAAUUGCAGCCUAGUGAGUCUUCCUUUUGGCCUCUUCUCCUUUUCAUUUAAUGCCCUGCAUAGAGAGACUUGGACAAGAUUUGAGGGCCACCACAUGUAUGGUGAAUCCACAAGAUAUUUUCUGAAAAUACCAGCCCAUCCAUACCCGAGCAACUG